rnacentral:rRNA from 1 species
CUUGGUCAUUUAGAGGAAGUAAAAGUCGUAACAAGGUCUCCGUAGGUGAACCUGCGGAGGGAUCAUUACACAAAUAUGAAGGCGGGCUGGAACCUCUCGGGGUUACAGCCUUGCUGAAUUAUUCACCCUUGUCUUUUGCGUACUUCUUGUUUCCUUGGUGGGUUCGCCCACCACUAGGACAAACAUAAACCUUUUGUAAUUGCAAUCAGCGUCAGUAACAAAUUAAUAAUUACAACUUUCAACAACGGAUCUCUUGGUUCUGGCAUCGAUAAAGAACGCAGCGAAAUGCGAUAAGUAGUGUGAAUUGCAGAAUUCAGUGAAUCAUCGAAUCUUUGAACGCACAUUGCGCCCUUUGGUAUUCCAAAGGGCAUGCCUGUUCGAGCGUCAUUUGUACCCUCAAGCUUUGCUUGGUGUUGGGCGUCUUGUCUCUAGCUUUGCUGGAGACUCGCCUUAAAGUAAUUGGCAGCCGGCCUACUGGUUUCGGAGCGCAGCACAAGUCGCACUCUCUAUCAGCAAAGGUCUAGCAUCCAUUAAGCCUUUUUUUCAACUUUUGACCUCGGAUCAGGUAGGGAUACCCGCUGAACUUAAGCAUAUCAAUAAGCGGAG